UGUUCUUUUUUAUAAUAAUUGCUGCGAUUUGUUUGAGUCUGAAUCUUUACGCAGUGGCUAAGAUUGCGUUGCAUGAAAAGAGUAUUGAUCAAUAUUUACACAUCAUGAUUAUAAUCGGUAUUUUUGUAUACUUGUUUUUCUUUAAUUACAUUGGUCAAGAAUUUACGGAUCACAAUAGCGACGUAUUUCUCACCGUAUAUAAUGUCCAAUGGUACGUAGCAUCGUUGCGCAUACAAAAAUUGAUACUGUUUCUCUUGCAAAGGGGUAACAAAAACGUAAAUCUGAAUUUGGGCAAAAUGUUCAUAUUAUCCUUAGAAUUUUUCGCUUCGUUAAUGAAGGCGUCGACAUCCUAUUUUACUGUCAUGUAUUCUGUACAGGAUUAAUGCAGAAAAAUAAAUUAUACUAUUUACAUGUUAGAAUUUGUUAGUAAACUCAACUAUUGAAUAAAGUUAUUGGAGAUAGUAAUAUUGUUUUAUGAUAGUAGUUGUAUGAUAGUAGUAUUGUUUUAAAUCACAUCUCGCGAUCGUUCUUUACAAAACGGGAAGAUAUGUUAUUUGAUUGUAUUGAA